AUGGGACAGAUGGUGCUCACUCGGCUGUCUGGAAAAUCCCCUCUGGACAUUGAGAGGAGGCUUGAGACCGAGUUAGGACCACUGGCAGGUCAGGUAAUUGUUGCAACCAUCAGCAGCAUCCAGACGGCGAAGAGCAACGCUCAGACAGGACAUGAGGUUCGGGUGUCCUCCCCUUUCACCUACUUCCUGUCAGCGGUGUCAGCCGAGGUGCAGAGUCUGGUGCUCCAGAGAUCAGGGACCAGGAUGUCAGCCAGACAGUCAGGCAGCGACCACCUGCUGAACCUGUCUCGGGCGAAGAUCACCAGGGCCGUCGAGCUGAAAAUGGCUGAAAUGCAUGGCGGAUCCCUGUGGAAUUGGACCCUGACAGAACAGAAUAUCCAGCCAAGUCAUGACAGAAUCACUGCCAUGUCCAGUGAUUUGGUGGAUUUGGUGGUCGAUGAUACCCUGGCGGCCCUUGGAUAUCUAGAGAACCAGGCAUUAUCCGGGCCCCAGACCGCUGGCUCUCUGACAGGGAUUGAAGGCCUCGACAUUGAUGGUGUGGCAAGGGACAUGGUCCGGAAAGCUGCACAAAAACUCAAGGCCUCCAUGUCUGAGUUUGAGCUGGAGCGGGGAUCCAGAUCCUCACAGGGCAGCAGUGGUCCCUCGAACCACUCACCUCUGUCUCGCUCCCACUCCGACCUAAGGACGCUGUGUGUCCGGUCAGCAGUGGCAGUCAGAACUGCCCUGCAAGUGAUAAAAACAGAGCUUGACAGCAACUCAGAGGAGUUCUUUGAUCCGUGCCAGAUGGCUGGAAACCUUCUAGCACAUCUAGCGUUGAGUGUCGAGAGCAUCGACAAUCUGGAGAUUGGUGAGAUGCUCCAGGGCCGCUCAGCAAUCAUGGAGCCGGAGGCUAUGAGAGAACACCCAGACAUAUCUUCCACUGCCAUCUACCAUUCCCUGCUCAUUGAUUGUCCAUUCCCACCAUCAGAGAGGGUUCAGGAAACAAUUAUCCUAAGCCAUUCACUCAUUGCACAAGAUGUGACCACACAGGGAGAAAAGCAGCAUCCUGCUGACCUCCAGACCGACAGCCUAACGGCAGAAUACCUUGCCAAGGCACAACAGGUAGUGACUCAGGUCAUAAGAGAUGCUUCUUUGACCGUGGACAUCCUGUCAGCCCACGUCUCCUCAAGGAACAUCGCUGAGGCCUCAACUAGCAUUCUUGAGUCCCUUCUAGUGGACUUAAACGAGGCAAUUGAGGUGAGUAGGGCAAGGGGGAGCAAGUUCUGGGAACAGGUUCAGUUAUCCUCCCAGAAACUUUACAGCACAGCUAUGGACAAGCUGAAGAGUUUGUACACUGGUUGCCACCUCACCAACGAGCGAGACCACCAGGAUACCCAUGUAACCGCUGACAAAAUCCAGGACAUGGAAGUGUCUACCAACAAUGACCUCAAAGACCCAACAGUUGCAGUCAGCCAGGAGUCAGUCAGACGCAGCGCCAAGAAGAUCCUCACAAAGGUUCUGAAUGUGAUCAAGGCCGGAGUAGCUGGCUCAGAGCACUCAUCUAUGGGCGCGCAGAUGGCCGAAAAGUGUCAACUGGCCACGGAGAUGUUGGACUCCAUUCUGAACAGACUAGAAGAUAAUGAGCCUGAUGUGGGUGAAGAGGAUCAACUUCAUGUGAUGUCGGUCCGUGAUGUCUACCAGGAUGUCUCAUCUAAAACCUCUCAGGUUUGUAUGGUGGGGAGUAGCCAGGUGAUGGACCCGCUGACCGAUGAUGUGUCUGCCGCGACCUCUGUGCAUGAUAUUGUGCACAGGUCAGAGAGAUGUCUCUCUCAGGCCACAAGUACCCACAGGUCCGGCACUAGCCAGGCCUCCAGUGACUUUGUUGUUGAGUACAUGUCUGAGCUCCAUUCCAACCGCCCUGACACUGCAUUGCCUGUGAGGUGCACUUCUACAGCUGUUGCCGAUACAGAGACUCGCCACGUCCCUUCUGCCAGAAUGAAGAAGAAGAGCCAGGGCCGGAGGUUCAGUUGCUGCCCAAAGUUGCCAACGGUCAGGAUCAAGGUGUUCAAGAGCAGAGUGGAACCAGAGAGCCACCUCACUCAAAAAGAGCUGCCUUCGCAGCGUUUCAGCACCUCUCGAGUUGCGCUGGAUGAUGAUCAUGUUGUCCCAUUCAUUCCCCAACUUGAGGACGACCUGCCACCAGCACCUGCACAGGAGUCCCGUAAAUGUCCCCUGUUGGUCAGGGUGUUCCGGGCCAUUUCCAGAGCCAUCUCGAAACCAUUCAAGGGCUGUGCUUUUUGCAAGAAGAAUUAGGAAAGGGUUAGCCAUCAACAUCUAAUAAACAUCAUUGUGUCUGCAGUCAAAUUUAAUAGACUCUCUUGACAGGGAUAUUUGAGUAGACACUUAUCCAAAGCAACUAGGGUUAAGUGCCUUGCUCAAGGGCACCUCAACAGAUUUUUCAUUUAGCCAGCUUGGUGAUUCAAACCAGUGCCCUUUGGGUUAUUGACCCAACACUCUUAACCACUAGGCUACCUGCCAUCGCAUUGGUUCUACCAUAUUGCUUAUUCUUUUUUGAUUCCUUCCUAUCUGCAAACACUGAAGUGAUAAGGGGUUGGCCCAACUGAACAUUUCACACCAGAUUUGCAUGUUCCAUUUACUGUGUUAAGAACAUGAUUUCAAUAUUUGUAAUAUACUUGCAAACCGAGAAGGUAUUUCAAACUAGCUUUGUUUGUAUUGACCUUGGUGAAAAUGGGUUUAAAUUAAAUUGAAACACAAUAUUAAUACAAAGAGUGGCUUUUUCAACACAUUUAGAUGCAUAUAUUUCCAGUGGGGGAAGG
ensembl:lncRNA